rfam:Salmo salar isolate Sally breed double haploid chromosome ssa10, whole genome shotgun sequence.
UCCCAUGUGGCUCAGUUGGUAAAGCAUAGUGUUUGCAACGCCAGGGUUGUGGGUUCGAUUCCCACGGGGGAC